GACGAACGCUGGCGGCGUGCUUAACACAUGCAAGUCGAACGGAAAGGCCCUGCUUUUGUGGGGUGCUCGAGUGGCGAACGGGUGAGUAACACGUGAGUAACCUGCCCUUGACUUUGGGAUAACUUCGGGAAACUGGGGCUAAUACCGGAUAGGAGCUCCUGCUACAUGGUGGGGGUUGGAAAGUUUCGGCGGUUGGGGAUGGACUCGCGGCUUAUCAGCUUGUUGGUGGGGUAGUGGCUUACCAAGGCUUUGACGGGUAGCCGGCCUGAGAGGGUGACCGGCCACAUUGGGACUGAGAUACGGCCCAGACUCCUACGGGAGGCAGCAGUGGGGAAUAUUGCACAAUGGGCGGAAGCCUGAUGCAGCAACGCCGCGUGCGGGAUGACGGCCUUCGGGUUGUAAACCGCUUUCGCCUGUGACGAAGCGUGAGUGACGGUAAUGGGUAAAGAAGCACCGGCUAACUACGUG
rnacentral:rRNA from 1 species